rnacentral:rRNA from 1 species
AGUGAACGCUGGCGGUAGGCCUAACACAUGCAAGUCGAACGGCAGCACAGUAAGAGCUUGCUCUUACGGGUGGCGAGUGGCGGACGGGUGAGGAAUACAUCGGAAUCUACUUUUUCGUGGGGGAUAACGUAGGGAAACUUACGCUAAUACCGCAUACGACCUACGGGUGAAAGCAGGGGAUCUUCGGACCUUGCGCGAUUGAAUGAGCCGAUGUCGGAUUAGCUAGUUGGCGGGGUAAAGGCCCACCAAGGCGACGAUCCGUAGCUGGUCUGAGGGGAUGAUCAGCCACACUGGAACUGAGACACGGUCCAGACUCCUACGGGAGGCAGCAGUGGGGAAUAUUGGACAAUGGGCGCAAGCCUGAUCCAGCCAUACCGCGUGAGUGAAGAAGGCCUUCGGGUUGUAAAGCCCUUUUGUUGGGAAAGAAAAGCAGCAGGUUAAUACCCCGCUGUUCUGACGGUACCCAAAGAAUAAGCACCGGCUAACUUCGUG